GGGGGGGGGGGCUGUAGCAGUAGAGUAGCCUUGUUGCUACGAUCUGCUGAGGCUUAGCCUUUGUUCUACAGAUUUGUGCUUUUGCACUCUGUCAGGUUGGUUUGGACUGGGGGGUUAAGGUACUGGUUGUACGUCACAAUCAAGACCGUACCUAGGGGGUGGCACCAACUUAGUAUCAAGAUCGCACCUAGGGGGGUGCGAGUUUUACUACAUGACACUGUAGUCAGACACUGUAUAGCAUGGAUGGCAUGUCCUUACUUAGUGGUUGACUCAUGGUGCCAAUGUCGGAAGUUGCUUACUUCGACUUCGACAUAAACCUCUUUCCACAAGUUAUUCUUAUAUGUAGGCCAGGUCUAGGACAUGUACAAGUCUUUAUAGGACUCGUGCAAGGUCUAGACCUGGCCUAGAUGUGCAAAUAGCUGUGUGGAGAGUAGUACUUAAGCGCACAGAACUCUUACUAGUAUCUACGGCCAUAGGAUCCAGAAAAUACCGCAUCCCGUCCGAUCUGGA
rnacentral:misc_RNA from 1 species